AAGAUCUCAGUUCGGAUUGCAGGCUGCAACUCGCCUGCAUGAAGUCGGAGUUGCUAGUAAUCGUGAAUCAGAAUGUCACGGUGAAUGCGUUCCCGGGCCUUGUACACACCGCCCGUCACACCACGAGAGUUGGUAACACCCGAAGCCAGUGAGCUAACCUAUGGAGGCAGCUGUCGAAGGUGGGGCCAGUAAUUGGGGUGAAGUCGUAACAAGGUAUC
rnacentral:rRNA from 1 species